GGCCGACUGGCUCAAUGGCAGAGCGUCUGACUACGAAUCAGGAGGUCGCAGGUUCGACCCCUGCGUCGGUCA